UACGGAGGAUCCGAGCGUUAUCCGGAUUUAUUGGGUUUAAAGGGUGCGUAGGCGGCACUUUAAGUCAGGGGUGAAAGACGGCAGCUCAACUGUCGCAGUGCCCUUGAUACUGAAGUGCUUGAAUGCGGUUGAAGACGGCGGAAUGAGACAAGUAGCGGUGAAAUGCAUAGAUAUGUCUCAGAACACCGAUUGCGAAGGCAGCUGUCUAAGCCGUUAUUGACGCUGAUGCACGAAAGCGUGGGGAUCGAACAGGAUUAGAUACCCUGGUAGUCCACGCCCUAAACGAUGAUGACUCGAUGUUUGCGAUAUACCGUAAGCGUCCAAGCGAAAGCGUUAAGUCAUCCACCUGGGGAGUACGCCCGCAAGGGUGAAACUCAAAGGAAUUGACGGGGGCCCGCACAAGCGGAGGAGCAUGUGGUUUAAUUCGAUGAUACGCGAGGAACCUUACCCGGGCUUGAAAGUUACUGAAGGGCGCAGAGACGCGCCCGUCCUUCGGGACAGGAAACUAGGUGCUGCAUGGCUGUCGUCAGCUCGUGCCGUGAGGUGUUGGGUUAAGUCCCGCAACGAGCGCAACCCCUAUGUUUAGUUGCCAGCACGUCAAGGUGGGGACUCUAAACAGACUGCCUGCGCAAGCAGAGAGGAAGGCGGGGACGACGUCAAGUCAUCAUGGCCCUUACGUCCGGGGCUACACACGUGCUACAAUGGAUGGUACAGCGGGCAGCUACACAGCAAUGCGGUGCCAAUCUCGAAAAGCCAUUCACAGUUCGGAUCGGGGUCUGCAACUCGACCCCGUGAAGUUGGAUUCGCUAGUAAUCGCGUAUCAGCAAUGACGCGGUGAAUACGUUCCCGGGCCU
rnacentral:rRNA from 1 species